UGAUUCUGAAAGAGAAAUAUCAAUGGGAGAAUAAAAAGGGGCCUGAGCAUCAGCUGAUGUUCUUUGGGCACCCAAGUUUUCUUCAGCCAUGAAGAGCCACAACAGCUACUGGCCACGACACCUGCAAAGCAGAAGACAGAGAGGGGUCCAGCCCUUGUCACCUGCACUAGGAAAGGAGAAGACCACCAGUGUAGACCUGCUGUGGAGGUGGUGCAGCAAGCCAUAUGGGUUAUUUCCAGCAAAGAUGAGGAGCAUCACAAAGGCCUGCUUCAACAGGAUACCUGCACAAAACCCAGAGACUUGUAUAUUCAAGUCUCUGAUUCUCCUGUAUGGAUUAAACACCCUGGCCAGACUACAGGUAUGUCUCAGAGUCAUCCCUCAUAAUGAGACACUGUGAUGCUUAUUGGAAAUCUGUGACAUUGAAUUAGAAAAGAUACAGUCCAGCUAAAGAAUCAAAACACAAAGAAAAAUGAGAGCACAAGACAAUCAAAAUAUAACUCCUAAGAAAAUAUUUGUGCAAAAAUUUGCAAAAGGAAUUUUUUUUGAUAUUUUAAAAUGUCUUCUUCUUUAAAAAGUAAAGAAAUAACUUAAUCAGGGGAAAAAUAAAUGGGGAAAAAAAAAAAAAAAAAAAAGCUAUCACUGUGGAAUUUCCAUCAUGGCAAGGCAAGCCAUGGGGGCAGCCUGUGUCUUCUGAGGGGUUCUUCCUUGUAGAGCUUAUUUUAGUUUAUCUUCCCCCAAGCAUAGACAAAUAGGAAAGGAGUGGAUAAUGAUCAGGAUCCAGAAAAUGCAGCCCAAUACACUUCGCUAUAAAUAAAUAAAUAAAUAAGCAGGAAUACCUGCUGUUCAAAUACAUCUUGAUGGAAUAAAUGUAGAAGUGUUUAUAUCCUGUAGUUUGACACUAUGGUACAAUAACCUUUGUUUUUAUUCUUAGCAGCUGGACUGAUCCUUGGGAGGGGAGAGGGGGUGAAGGGGGGAAAAAGAUUUAAAAAAUGAGAAAUAAAGCACUUGAAGGCCUAAAAUAUCAUUGUUUUAAGUAUUACAGACAGUGAUCCUUCAUUGAUUGUUUUAAAGAAGUUGUGGCAUUUCAUUCAGUACAUGAUCAAGAUAACUGAAAUGUUGACGUCUAAUAUUGCUCUAAGAGUUUUGUAGAACACAUUGAGCUAGUUAUUUGAGAAAUCAAGCUCUACCAAAAUAUUUAUAAAUCCAGUAACAACUAUAUGAGCAACACAGAAAUGUAAGCAGCAGAAGUUACAUUUUUUCACUUUCAGAAACCAGAUAGGCUGGUGUAAACUGAAAUGGCUCCAUGGCAGUCUGUGGAUAGUACUGUGACUUAUGUCAGUUCUGGAUCUGGAUGACUAUUUGCACAUAAUCCGAAUACCUGUUUCCAUGAAAAUAUAUACCUUUUGAGGCUUUCAAUGAAUUUUGCUGCAAAUUCAGUGGAACUAGAACACAGGUCAUUCCUUGAAGCAUUUCUAUUUAACCACUGGAUUAAGUCAACCGGAACAACAUAUCUGAGAGCUUAUUUGAAAUAAAGUCUUGGAAAGGGAAUGGUUUAAUGCAACAAAUAUCCCAUCAGUAGUAUGGACUAAAUUUUGGACCUUGGUACCCCAAAUAAGGAAACUGUGACUUAAGUUUGGUAAUUGAUCUAACUGGGACCAUGUUGAGGGGUAGAAUUAGUAAACAUUAAUUAAAGGGGGGGGCGGAAUGGUGAAUAAAAAAAAAAAAAUAAAUUAUAACAGAGUCUUUAUACAGAUUCAUCCCAUUCCUGUCUGACUCUGGCGCUAUCUUCACCCAGCCUCUUUCUCUUCCUUCUUGCUGGAGAUUUUUCUAGCCAUCUGGACUAGGAUAUACCAGCUUUUUCCACCCUAAAGAACAGCAGUACCACUUUCUGGCCUAUGUGGGAAAUAGAAAUGAGAGGAUAUUCAAUCAUAUCAGCACACAUUAACCUGAAGUGUAACUAUUAUUAUACAUUGCUG
rnacentral:lncRNA from 1 species